UAGAGAUUGGAGGAGGAGGAUGGAGCUCCAGGAUGGAGAUAAGCGGAAAAAAACAGAGACUCAUGAGGAUAGAAGAUGUAAUUCAGAGUUUGAAAAAUAACUGAAGGCAUGACAAAGGCAGUAGUCCUGGAGAAAGAAUUCAGUUUCCUUUCUCUGUGGGCUGGCCAGCCUCCAUGGAGAAACGGUUCUUCUUCGUCCUGCAGCAGAGACCUCACUUCAGAGAAGAAAGCUGAGCUGACUGUGUGAUACAUCAUGUUGUGGAGGAGCUGAGUUUACUUUUUGCUUGGCUGUUUCUGCUCUUUUUUCCUUCUUUUCAGUUAUAUCAAUGUGAAGGACACAUAUAUCUCCAUCGUUCUCCCCACAGCCAAGGAGAAAUAUGACAGGGCCAAAAACAAAGCUGGGCGAGGAGUGGUUAGAGGCCUGUGCAUCCCAGGAGCGUCUCUGGUUCCAUACAAUCUCAGUUCUGGAACAGUCUUUGGUGGAGACUUCGGGAAGCCAUCAGAGUGCAGGGACACGCUGCUCCAGCUGACCUGCCAGGAGACGGAGCGUCUGACCCUGACACUCAAUUAGCAGAACAGACGGUGUAUAACGUAUGCUUGACACUGAUAUGAUUUAACGUUAAUAACUGGUUUUCAAAUAUUUAUUACAAUGGCUGUUUUAAUAAAUAUUUCAUG